rnacentral:lncRNA from 1 species
AAUCAUAUCGCAAGCAUAAACAUGUAUUUCGAAUCCCCCCUAGCCAAGGGGGGGUUUAGUUCCUCAUAUGCACAAAACAAAGAGAAUUGAAUUUAAAACAUUGAAAUCAAAGGAAAAGAAACACCUAGAAAUUCCAGCGACGCGAACUUGAAUGGCAUGAACUUCCGAGCUUCCUUCUCCUCCUCCUUGGUGCGGCAAAGGGUCUAGGGACAGGUUUAGGACCUUAGGUGUAUGGAUGCAUGGUUAUGGAUGGAUGUAGUAGUGUUUAGGGGAUGGGGAUGGUGCGGCAAAGGGGUGAGAGGUGUUUGGACGCAUUUCUGAAUUUGUGGAAUGAAUGAAUGUGUAUGAGAGGUGGUGUGAAUGAAUGGGUGCGGCACCAUGUAUUUAUAGGGUCCUAAAAGUCUAGCAAAUCAGAUUAGGACUUGGAGGAUUAAAUCCCAUCAGGAAAGGGCUUAAAACAAUCAGAUUUUGGGUAGGAAAGGUCCUCCUAGGUGCGGCAGGGAUGGAUUAGAGGGAUAAGGCUUCUAGAUGGCCUUGCAAGGCAAGGAAAUCAGUUUUCUAGAAGGGAUAGGUGCGGCACUAAAGGAUAGGGCAGAUUAGGGCUUCUAGAAACCCUCUAAUGCAAGGAAAACUCACAGCAAGGAUGGAUAAGGUUUCUAGAACAAGGAUGAGGUAUCCUAAAUGGAUAAGGUGCCCUAAAUGGAUAAGGAUUCCUCAUUGCACUUGGAAACUUUGCUUAUUAGGAUUAGGAAACCUUGUCUUUGUCAUUCCUUCUUCAUCUUGGACUCCUUUUCCUUCUUGGACUUGGAAAACUUCUUUGUUGCUUCA